rnacentral:rRNA from 1 species
UACGAAGGGGGGCUAGCGUUGCUCGGAUUCACUGGGCGUAAAGGGUGCGUAGGCGGUCGGGUAAGUCUGAUGUGAAAUCUCCAAGCUUAACUUGGAAAUGGCAUCGGAUACUAUUCGGCUCGAGGAAUGGAGGGGAGACUGGAAUACUUGGUGUAGCAGUGAAAUGCGUAGAUAUCAAGUGGAACACCAGUGGCGAAGGCGAGUCUCUGGACAUUUCCUGACGCUGAGGCACGAAAGCCAGGGGAGCAAACAGG